rnacentral:lncRNA from 1 species
CAAUCUAGCUCUAAUAAAGCUUCUUCCAUAGAUUCUUCACUUCCAUCUAAAAUCAGUGAAGUGUCAUCUGCAAACUGAGAUAGUUUAUGUUCAACUUGAGAAAUUUCUAUACCCUGUAUUUUCGUAUUACCUCUAACCUUUAUUGCCAAAAUCUCUGCACAUAAUAUGAAAAGGUACGGUGAUAAUGGGUCCCCCUGUCUACAGCCUCGUCCAAUACCAAAGAACUCUGAUAAAUUUCCACCCUGAAUGACUGCAGAGCUAAUAUUAUUGUAAAGUACUUUUAUCCAAUUGAUUAUGGAAUUCCCAAAAUUGAAAAAAGUCAGAACUGCUAAAAGAAAAUCCCAGGAUACUGUAUCAAAAGCUUUUUCAAAGUCUAUCAACAGUAAUAAACCAGGUAUAUCUUUUUCCUCAGUAUACUGCAAAAUAUCAUAUAUAAGUCGGAUAUUAUCUCCCAUAUAACGCCCACUUAUAAAGCCAGUUUGAUCUAAAUUGAUAAGUUUAUCUAAAACUUUUUUAAAUCUAUUUGCGAUCACCCCUGACCCAAUUUUAUAAACUGUAUUUAAUAAUGAAAUGGGGCGCCAGUUCUUCAGAAAAUGGCG